rnacentral:rRNA from 1 species
UACAGAGGGUGCGAGCGUUGUCCGGAAUCACUGGGCGUAAAGGGCGCGUAGGCGGCUUGAUAAGCGUGCGGUGAAAGCCCGGGGCUCAACCCCGGGUCGGCCGUGCGAACUGUCGAGCUGGAGCACUGUAGAGGCAGGUGGAAUUCCGGGUGUAGCGGUGGAAUGCGUAGAGAUCGGGAAGAAUACCAGUGGCGAAGGCGUUCUGCUGGGCCGUUGCUGACACUGAGGCGCGACAGCGUGGGGAGCAAACAGG